rnacentral:precursor_RNA from 15 species
ACACCCCACGGAAACGAGGGGCAGCGAAUUACUUGGGCCAAGGGAAUUCAAACUGUGAUCGCAAUGCUAGAAGUUUGUUCGUUUGGCUUAAGUUAUUUUCAUGUCCGUUGCAAACGCCACGUGGU